rnacentral:lncRNA from 1 species
CUACUUGUAGAAGGUACAGCCAGCUUGUGUAGCCUUGGAUGGGAGCUUGCAGAUGAGAAGCUUCUUCAGUACCAUAAUCCUUCAGGCAAAUAAGCAUCCUUCAGCAGAGUAAAUGUGCAGGCCAGCAAGCAAAGGUUCUAGCCUAGCCUUGUCUUGUGUAUGUUGUUUUUGCACAGGAUUGGUGGAAUUAUAUUGUUAGUUCAGUACAGAGGAGCAUUCGAUGGGUAAGACAAAACUAGAAGGAGUGGGUGGAGAUUACAGGAAGGCAGAUUUCAGCGAUGAUCAGCAGAAACCUAUCAACACUGAGGGCUGCCCUUUACUUGAGGCAUUUAAGCAGAGGCCGGAUAGCCACCUGUCUGGGUCAAAUCCUGCACUAUAGAGGCAGCAUUGAAGGAUAUGAUCUCCCAAGUCCUUUACAGCUAGAGCUUGAAAAAACUUUGGGCUUUACCUUUCCCACACUUGUGUUUCCAGCUUUUUUGGUCCUAUGAACAGAUUUGUUGCUGCCUGCCUUCCAGACUCAGGUUCGCCACCUCUGGCAUGGAUGAAGCCAAAAGCCGGCCCUCGAGAGUUAGAGAUCUGCUCCUCUGUUUGGUUACUCCUGGCUCUGUUUCCUUGUGCCUCUCAGGAACCAAGUUUGCAACGGAAUUUCCUUGCCCUCGGGGUUAUUACAACCCGGAUCCAAUGACCCAGAGCCUGGACAGCUGUUUGCCAUGCCUCCCAGGGCAUUACUGUGGGAAGGAAAAUUUAACCACCGUUUCGGGGAAGUGUGAUGCAGGAUGGUUCUGCAUUUUGGCCGCAUGGACACCCCAGCCUUUUGAUCUGGAUAACUACACCAGUGGCAACUGUCUUUGCCCUGCCACGGCCACAGGAGCUAAAUGUUCCCCUGGGUUCUACUGCCCAGAAGGCAGCCCUGAGCCCAUUCUGUGUCCUCCAGGGUUUUACUGCAAUGCACCAGGUCUGUCUGCUCCAAGUGGUGAAUGUGCAGCUGGUUUUCAUUGUACAGGAGGAGCCUCUUCUCCUAAGCCUGUGGAUGGCGUUACAGGUAACCUCUGUCCACAAGGCGCUUACUGCCCCGCAGGGUCCUCCACGCCAACCCCUUGUCCCUCCGGCACCUUCUCCAACUUCUUAGGGUGGAGUAUGGUUUCAGACUGCCAGCUCUGUCCCUCCGGGUUUUACUGCGAAGGAUCUGGACUGAGGGCCCCUAGUGGAGAGUGCUGGGAAGGUAAACAACGUUGUUUAGUAAGGUUUCUUUGGAAGAAGCCAUCCCUAUCAAACUGGUGUGCAAUUCCUGCAGCUUUGUGGGACUUUCAGAAAUGUAGACAAUGCAGGUGUAGUGGAUAGUCUAUUGGUACUAGGACUCAGGAGACGGGGGUUCAAAUUCCCCACUCAGUCAUGGAAACCUCUUGGGAGGUAGUAAUGGUUAAUCACUCAUUGAACAUCUCACAGACAUCAGAAACCUUGAUAGGUUCACCAUAAUUCUGAAGAACCUUGAGUACACAUAGUCAUAAUCACAACCAC